rnacentral:lncRNA from 1 species
CAAACUUUGGUUUCUUUCCUGAGUGGAUCAGGAGACCACAUCACUGCAGUCUUCCUGAGUGACAACCCCCUAAUCUCUCCCCACAAAGCUAUUUUACCAGCUGAGUGGCAACUCUACAGGAGCGUUAGACCAUAGAUGGAUUGGGGAUGAUAUGAAGAUUGAGCCUUGAUGACCAUAGCAGUGACC